rnacentral:rRNA from 1 species
CCCUUAGAUGUUCUGGGCCGCACGCGCGCUACACUGAUGCAUUCAACGAGUCUAAAACCUGGUCUGAUAGGGCUGGGUAAUCUUUUGAAAGUGCAUCGUGAUUGGGAUAGAUGAUUGCGAUUCUUCAUCUUCAACGAGGAAUGCCUAGUAAACGCAAGUCAUCAGCUUGCAUUGAUUACGUCCCUGCCCUUUGUACACACCGCCCGUCGCUCCUACCGAUUGAAUGAUCCGAUGAAUACUAUGGAUCGAGAGUACGAACAGUUCGCUGUUUCUGCUUCUCGAGAAGUAGAGUAAAUCUUAUCAUUUAGAGGAAGGAGAAGUCGUAACA